rnacentral:tRNA from 1 species
UAGAAUGUGGUGUAAUUUGGUAGCACGGAGAUUUUUGAAGUCUUAGGAGCAAGCAGGUUCGAUUCCUGUGGUUCUAG